rnacentral:tRNA from 1 species
GCUCCCUUAGCUCAGCGGUUUAGAGCAUUGUACUUAUGAUGCAAGGGUCACCAGUUCGAUUCUGGUAGGGAGCA